rnacentral:rRNA from 1 species
AAUGAACGUUGGCGGCGUGGAUUAGGCAUGCAAGUCGCGCGACAAGGAACCUUCGGGUUCUGGAGGAGCGGCAAACGGGGUAGUAAGGCAUCGGAACGUACCCUCUUGUUGGGAAUAGCCGCGGGAAACUGCGAGUAAUGCCCAAUAAUCCCUACGGGGCAAAGGUCCGCCGCAGGAGGAGCGGCCGAUGUGAUACCAGCUAGUUGGUGAGGUAAUGGCUCACCAAGGCUUAGACGUCUAGGGGGUGUGAGAGCAUGGCCCCCACCACUGGGACGUGAGAUACUGCCCACGACACCUACGGGUGGCUGCAGUCGAGAAUCUUCGG